GAUUUAUCAACUUGCAUAAACAUCUUCGCUUCUGCUGGUAGCUGACGUUGAAUAUCAGGAGCACUGAAUAUACUUUCUAAAUAUAACCAACUCCUCUGACAUUGUAACCAUUCAUCCUAAAAUACAACUGGAAAAAACAAAUUAAAUAUUUAUUACACAUAGAAGCUGGAACUGAAGCUUUAGCAGCAUGUGUUGCAGCCUGUAUUUUAACAGUUGUAGGUGGUGUCGGUAUUCUAGCAGUGGGAGGAAACCGGAGAACCCAGAGAAAACCCACGAGGAUGGAAAGGUGACCCUACUCCAUGUUACGUACAACUGGGGAAUUGAAACCACGCCAGUUGACUCAAUGACAGGCCUUAUGAUACAACACACACACUCUGACCAUUCGACCCACCUCACCCCCCACAGAGGGCUGAAGAUAACCUAGAGUUGUCGCUCCAGGCACAGACUACCAGCAUAAGCUUAUACAAAAAA